UGGUACCAUUAACAGCAGGCUACCAGCUCCACCGAAGAAAAUUAUUUACCAUGGUGCUCACGGAACGACCAUAAGGACGGGUGACGAACUGCGUAACACCGGUAACGUAACAGCUGCGUAAUUAUUACGUAUCGCACAAAUGGAUGUCAUUAAGAAAACUGUUGUUUUAACUUAAGAAAAUAUAACAAAAAACUUGCUUUUUUUUGUAAUAAGAGCCCCGAAGGGCUGGAAACUUUAGUACAACCGCAAAGUACCGCUACCGGACUCGAAAAGUACUUUGACAACUGCUACCGCAGUUCACCUCUGGGCGGAUUAAUUUUUUUUAUGUGUUGCUGGCCCAGCAAAAGGCAAACGUUAAGAAAAGGAGAGUAUCCAAGGAUGGAAAA